rnacentral:rRNA from 1 species
UACGGAGGGUGCAAGCGUUACCCGGAUUUACUGGGUUUAAAGGGUGUGUAGGCGGGCUUUUAAGUCAGUGGUGAAAUCUCCGGGCUCAACCUGGAAACUGCCAUUGAUACUAUUAGUCUUGAAUUUUGUUGAGGUAGGCGGAAUAAGUCAUGUAGCGGUGAAAUGCAUAGAUAUGACUUAGAACACCAAUUGCGGAGGCAGCUUGCUAAACAAAUAUUGACGCUGAGGCACGAAAGCGUGGGGAUCAAACAGG